GCCUUCUCGAGUCUUUUACCUAAAUGUUUAAUACCCAUUUUUUGUCUUUUCGCUCAAUAUAGACACCGACAUAGAAAAGGAGGGGGAGACUGGAUGGCAAGUCGGGUUUCCCAGCGUCGCGCCCCAGUGUGUGUUCAGAGAAAGUAGGGGACAAUUUCCAUUAGUUCUUAUAUAAAGGCUUUACGUUUUUUUACUUAUAUUUUUUCGUUCUUUUUUUACAGCAUCCAACAUCGAUGGUCAACCGUCUUCAUCUUCCGUACAUUUGACUAGCAACUCGCGAAAACGGAAAGCAGUACAGUUGUGCAGUGUAGCUACGAAUACGGAGACGGUUGACCCAUACGACCAAGAAAAUGUGGUCCGCACACUCACUGGGCUAACUCGGUCUCAUGCCCGUUUGGCGACACAAGUGGGCGAAUUGAUUAAUGCCAUGAAACCAAGGCCCGACGUUCGACCCAGCAUGGAGUUUGAUUUUGCUCCGAUAGAUUCGGUAGAAGAGCUGCAAAAUUUAGAUACACUUCUUCAAGACGACUCGGAGUAUAGAGCAAAACUUGUCCAUUGGCUUGAAACACAGAUCUCUCGUGUGGACGUGGAUAACCGUCUUCACGAAUUAAUUGAUCUAUUGUUCACCAAAACCUUUUUUGCCACCAUGAAUUGGACUGGCAUAAGCAAAAAAGCGGGACAAACAAAAAUAGCAUUAGGUAAAUUUAAGUUAGUGGUAAGAUUAUUUGUAGAAUUAGGAGGUAACAAUGCUUUAGUUUUAAAUAGUAAUUAUGUAGAAAAUUAAAAAAAAAAACUAUAUCAUGCUAAGGAUAGGAUUAAGAUUAGCAAUAGUAAACGUACGUCUUGCCACCAAAAAAAAA